GACGAGCCUCACAAACGUUAUUCGGAAUUACUGGGCUUAAAGGGUGCGUAGGCGGCGCGGAAAGUUGGGUGUGAAAUCCCUCGGCUCAACCGAGGAACUGCGCCCAAAACUACCGUGCUCGAGGAAGAUAGAGGUGAGCGGAACUCACGGUGGAGCGGUGAAAUGCGUUGAUAUCGUGAGGAACACCCGUGGCGAAAGCGGCCCACUGGGUCUUUUCUGACGCUGAUGCACGAAAGCUAGGGGAGCAAACGGG
rnacentral:rRNA from 1 species